ensembl:snRNA U6 U6 spliceosomal RNA
GUGCUCGCUUUGGCAGCACAUAUACUAAAAUUAGAAAAAUACAGAGAAUAUUAGCAUGGUCCCUGUGCUAGGAGGACAUGCAAAUUCAUGAAACAUUCCAUAUUUUU